rnacentral:lncRNA from 1 species
CAAGGUAGCCAGGCCCCAUCACUUAAAAACAACAACAACAACAACCAGUGUUAAUGGUCUACCUGCUGGGCCCUCCAAAAACUUAGGGACAUUAUCUGAUGUACCUGUGUUUUCACAGUAUUUACUAUUAAAUGAAGGUAAAGAGUGGCUUCUGGUUGGUUAAAAAACAGUUGAGAAGGAGAUAUUGAAGGUUGUCAAUGGGUAAUAAAACCUGGUUUUAAUACUAUCCUGGGACCCUCUGGUGGAGGCAAGGAAGGAUUCCUGUGGUCUCUCUGCAGAUGUUUUGCUAAAUGAAACCCUGCAACCUGGAACUUCAAAAGUAUCUCAAGACUGGGCGCAAUGGCUUAUGCCUGUAAUCCUAACACUUUGAGAGGCUGAGGCCAGGGGAUUGCUUGAGGCUGGGAGUUCGAAACCAGCGUGGGCAAUACAGUGAAACCCCGUCUCUACUAAAAAUGCAAAAAUUAGCCAGGGGUGGUGGUGUGUGCUUGUAGUCCCAGCUACUGGGGAGGCUGACAAGAUCACUUGCACCCAAGAGGUGGAAGUUGCAGUGAGCCAAGAUCACACCACUGCACUCCAGCCUGGGCGACAGAUUGAGACGCUAUCUCAACAACAACAACAACAAAAAAGGUAUCUCAGAUUAUGUAGUCUCAGAUGGUAUAGCGAUGGGAGCGAUGGUUAAGGAAAAAAUUUUCAGCAGCCCUUCGGCUGUCAACAAGUAUAAACAGUCAGGCAAGAAACAAACAAAAAAACAAAAACAAAAAAACAAACACACAUUAACAAAACCAUUCAAGAGGUGGCCUUCAGCAAAAUUAGCAGACUCCAAUGUAGAAAACCAGGUCAUUUGGGGUGUGUCUGGAGGACAGAGAAAGAAGCCCAGCAUUGCAAUGGAGGUGAUGAGAGCUAUAACUGUUCUGUUUCUGGAUAAGCCCACCACUGGCUUAGAUGUUAGCACAUCAAAUGCACUUCUUCUCCUGAAGAUGACAAGGCAGAGAAGGCCCAUCCUCUUCUCCAUUCCUUAGCCCUGUUAGGCCAUCUUCAAACCUUUUGAUAGCCUUACCUUGCUGGCUUCUGGAAGGGUGAUGUUCCAUGGGUCCUGUAUAAAAAACUUUGAAAUAUUUUGCUCUGCGAGUUACCAGUGUAAAUCCUAUAAAAACUCUGCUGAUUUCUUCACACAUGUUAAUAGAGGCUCCUCUGCUGUGACCUUAAAUAGGAAGCAAGGAGGUGAGAAACCUGGGGAACUUGAAAAGCCUCCCAAACAGGAUAAACAAUGAAUAGAGGAAUUAGCUGAAUUUUAUGUCAAUUGUUCUUUCUACAGGGAAACGAAAUAUGAAUGUAAUGAACUCUCAGUAGGUGAAAAAAGGAGUGAACUUUCUUUGAUCAUCAACUCAGGUGGGUGUCCAAAUGUUUAUUCAAAAAUUGGUUUGGUGAGCAUCAAGACUCCAUUCCUGAAAUAAGAGCCCCAGUUAUCAGACUGGGGCAUCCAGGUUCUUUACUGUGGUUUAAACAAUAGCCCUGCAGGAAUUUAUAAUAGAGGUGGCUUCCUGUUCUAUUUGUCCUGCAACCAAUGCCUGAACAAUGUCUCAGUGGUAUUUCUUCUGGUUCUUGAAAAAAAGCAGUCUGUGCAUGAGUCUACCAGUGGCUAUUUUAGAGUAUCAUCGUAUUUCUUUGGAAAGCUGAUAUCUGACCUACUCCCUGUGAGAAUUUUAUAAAGUGUGAUAUAAUGAGUGCAUUGCAUCUUAUGUUAAGACCGAAGCUGAAGGUGGAAUCUUUCUUUCUUUCUUUCUUUCUUUCUUUCUUUCUUUUUUUUUUUUUUUUGAGAUGGAGUCUCUCCGUGUCUCCCAGGCUGGAGUGCAGUGGCGCGAUCUUGGCUCACUGCAAGCUCCCUCUCCCGGGUUCACGCCAUUUGCCUGCCUCAGCCUCCCGAGUAGCUGGGACUACAGGCGCCCUCCACCACGCCCGGCUAAUUUUUUGUAUUUUUAGUAGAAAUGGGGUUUCACCAUGUUAGCCAGGAUGGUCUCGAUCUCCUGACCUCGUGAUCCACCUGCCUUGCCUCCCAAAGUAUUGGGAUUACAGGCGUGAGCCACUGCGUCCGGCGGCAUCUUUCUUUUUUAAGAUGCCUCCCGGCCGGGCGAGAUGGCUCACGCCUAUAACCCCAGCACUUUGGGAGGCAAGGCAGGCGGAUCACGAGGUCAGGAGAUCGAGACCAUCCUGGCUAACAUGGUGAAACCCCGUCUCUACUAAAAAUACAAAAAAUUAGCCAGGCAUGGUGGCGGGCGCCUGCAGUCCCAGCUACCUGGAAGACUGAGGCAGGAGAAUGGCGUGAACCUGGGAGACGGAGCUUGCAGUGAGCCAAGAUUGCGCCACUGCUCUCCAGCCUGGGCGACAGAGCAAGACUCUAUCUCAAAAAAAAAAAAAAAAAAAAAAGAUGUCUCACUCGUAAGGCUUGCACUGACCUCCAGUGCCUUGGCUCUGGCUCUCGCUGCAGGUCAGAGUGACCCCCUUGGGCUACCCUUCUCUUGACUUUCCCUUUAGCUGAUGAAAAUUAUUUCAGCCCUCUGCGUGAAUCUCAGAACCAGUAGGCCUUGGUUUUCCUGGAUCCAGUAUAUAAGCAUUCCUCAAUACAACCAUAGAGGCUUGCAACAUAAUGACUUUAUGGACCAAAGCUUUAGACUCGGAAUACAUGGGCUACACACACACAAAACCAAGGCCUGUGGAUAUGCCAUGUGUUCUGGGGAAGACUUUUUACAAAACCAAAGAAUUGAGUUGUCCUCUUGGGGUCUAUGAAGGAGUCAUCUGGCCUUGGCAUGUGUGAUGGUGAUUUUCUUAAUUGCCUACUAAUAUGGUUUGGCUGUUCCCCCACCCAAAU